rnacentral:tRNA from 1 species
AAGGCUUUAGCUUAAGUAAAGUGUCUGCUUUGCAUGCAGAUGAUGUGGGAUAGUACCCCGCCAGUCUUA